rnacentral:rRNA from 1 species
UUGGAGGGCAAGUCUGGUGCCAGCAGCCGCGGUAAUUCCAGCUCCAAUAGCGUAUAUUAAAGUUGUUGCAGUUAAAAAGCUCGUAGUUGAAUUUCGGGAUCAAUUUAUUGGUCGUGCCAACGGUACGCACUGGUACAAUUGGUUUCUCCCUUCUGACGAAGCAUGAUGUCAUUAAUUUGAUGUCGUGGGGAAUCAGGACUGUAACUUUGAAAAAAUUAGAGUGUUUAAAGCAGGCUUUGGCUUGAAUACAUUAGCAUGGAAUAAUGAAAUAGGACGUUUGAUCUUAUUUCGUUGGUUUCUAAGAUCGACGUAAUGAUUAAUAGGGAUAGUUGGGGGCAUUAGUAUUCAAUUGUCGGAGGUGAAAUUCUUGGAUUUAUUGAAGACUAACUACUGCGAAAGCAUUUGCCAAGGAUGUUUUCAUUAAUCAAGAACGAAAGUUAGGGGAUCGAAGACGAUCAGAUACCGUCGUAGUCUUAACCAUAAACUAUGCCGACUAGGGAUCGGAUGAUGUUAAUUUUUUAAUGACUCAUUCGGCGCCUUACGGGAAAC